rnacentral:rRNA from 1 species
GGGUCAGUAGGUUGGUCGUGCCACCGGUACGUACUGGUCUCACUGAUUCCUCCUUCCUGAAGAACCGUAAUGCCAUUAAUUUGGUGUUGCGGGGAGACAGGACUGCUACUUUGAAAAAAUUAGAGUGUUUAAAGCAAGCUAACGCUUGAAUACAUUAGCAUGGAAUAAUGAAAUAGGACGAUCGAUCCUAUUUUGUUGGUUUCUAGGAUUGACGUA